UGCAUAUGAAGCUAAUGCUUUGCUUUUUAAUAUGUUUAACUUACAUCUUGACAUAUAACUAAACUGUUUUAUAAUCAAAUGGUUUCAUUUUUGAGGUAUUCUAGUUUAACAAUUGUAUUAUCUGUAAAUAAUGAUUGUUUUGCCUCUUUUUUUUUCACCAUCCCUGUAUCUGAGAAAUAGUCCCUGUCUUUAUGAGAUAAAUCUUUUUAAUCUAUAUAAAUGAGUAAAUAGUAGAGGGAGGGAAACUUCUUUUAAUGAAAAUGGGAGACAUCAUUUCCCCCCAAAACACUCCUACCACCCUGCCUCUCAAAGAGAACGAUGCUAUUAUAAGAUCUUGAUUAAACUACCGUGCUUAAAAUCAAAAUUUAUUUAUCCAUAGGUAUGUUUGUGCAGCCUGCUGAAGGAAGCCAUAAGGAAUCCCUACUUCCAUUUUUAAUUAAGGAACUCCUUCAACAUGGCUUACAGUGCACAUCUGCUCACAAUAAAUGUAUUCUUUCACAAAAAGACAAAUGCUGUGUGUUAUCACUCAUAUGUGAAAGCUAAAAAUGAACUUAUAUGUAUAUAUAAGUUUAACUUAUACUGCACUUACACCACAAAUCUAUACCACAGCUCAUAAACAUAUACUCAAAUAUCAUCUUGUAGAACUACAACUGUAUUCAAGAGGUACCUUCAACAUCUCUGUUCCUAUUUCAGUGAGCCUCAGGAUUCACUAUGGACUUCUCACCUCCUCCAUUUCAAUGAAUUUCUGUGAUUCGUAGGAUGCCCACAGCAACAGAUAAGAAAGCAGAUGCAGAAACCAAAAUACUUUUGCUCUGGGAUAAGAAGUCACAAUUAUUUCUCAUCAGUGCUGCUUCACUAGCUCCGAUUUUUUCCAGAGCUCUGGAGCCUGCUUGUUUACCUGGACUUAGAGGAGUUAAAAGUACUCGAUAAAUUAUAAAUGCCUGCAGGGAAAGACAAGAUGUUAAUCAAUUUGUAUUCUCUGAAUCUAGCUCAGUGCUUGAAUAAGGUGUCCAGUAAAAGCUGUAAAAAGAAUGCAUGUUGAAAUCUUGCUCCUGCGUGCCUUCGAUGAACUAUCUUGUGAACUUCCUGACUAAAGAGCAAUAUUAUGUAUAAGUACCUGGUUACUUAGCAGGACACUGAUUACUAACACUGUGUUUCUGACUAUGGCAAUAUGACCUGAAUUUAACUUGUAUAAUUGAAAAUUAAUAGCAUGGCUUGAAACAAUGCUUAAGCAUAAACACAAAAUUAACAUUUGUCAAACUAAACGGGAAAAGAAAAAAAAUAUAUUUUUUUAAUUUGUUCUGGUGAACAGAAUUCCUAACUUUUCUUUUUCUGCUUUUUCAAUAUUGCAAGUGAACAGAGAUUUCCUAGAGAGCAGUGGGAAAUAUAUAAAAUUAUAAAGUUUCAUGCUGAAUUUAAAUUUUGACCAGCUCCUAUAAUAUUUAUUAUUGUUGUGUGAAUUGCCUUGUAGCUAUGAAAACUGGUUUCUCAUUUGAAGGCAGCUCGUAGUCAGGAACUGAUUUUAUAAUUGAAGGCAUUAGGAAAUUCAACGUCAUUAGUGUAAUUAUGGAAAGGUGAUUCAUAGCUUUGGGAUAUUUUUCUUUGUUCAAAGAAGACAGUGUCUCUAGGAGACAAACAAAGUAGAUAGCUCAGUUUAAUGAAUAAAUAUUUGUGAAAUACUGAAAACUGAAAACUUUUGGUUAUAAGUGUAAGAAUUGUUCAUUGUGUAAAAAGAUGUACUUUUACAUAUAAUUAUUGAUAUUUUUCUCUAAAACGUAAAAUGUGAAAUGUGAUACAAAUAAUUUUUUGAAACAAUCAAUAGUAAGGAAAAUACAAUGCUUAAAACAGGCAGAGAAACCAAACAGUUACCUAAUAAAUUCUCACAUAAUAUCAUUUUUAAUAUUUGUUUUCCUCUUGAAGAAUAAGUAUCAUUUAUUAAGUAUCAUAAAAUAAAACAUUACUCACUGGCCUGGCCCGGUGACUCAUGCCUGAAAUUCCAGCACUUUGGGAGGCUGAGGAGGGCGGAUUGCUUGAGCCUGGAUUCGAAACCAGCCUGAGAAAGGUGGUGAGACCUCGUCUUUAUUAUUGUUUUUGUUUUUGUUUUAAAUUACUUGGAGCUUCUUUCUAAUGGCUUCCUUACUUUUAAAAAAGCCAAACAUUCCUUCAUUUAUACAAUGUGGUUCUAAAUUCCUUCUGCAAUUUAUUUUUAUUCCCUAAAAACAUGUAGAUAAUAGCUAUUAAUAAUAAGAAAUCUGAUUUUUCUUCUAUUUUGUAUCAGUCAAAAAUAUUAUUUUAAGAACAUAAUGAAAAGUAUUCAAUAUAUGGUUAUCAGAAUUUUUUACACAAUUUUAAAAUGAAGAAAUACCAUUCGUCUAAACUAGUAGAGGGAGAACAGUACUAGGGGAUUAAAUUAACGUCUUACUUUUCAUUAUUAGACACACUUACAUGAGAAAAGGCAAAUAAAGCAAAACAUAAGCAAAGAGACUCUUGCAAAAGUCAAUGUCUAUGACUUAAUUAGGAUAAGGCAAGUGAAGAGAAACAAAUGAAUAUAAAUAGCAGUUGUGUGCUUCCAUAUAAAAUAUAUGGAAACAAAUGACUACUGGUACUUUGCUCUCCAUUAGGAUAACAUGUAAAGACGCAAUCACCUUCAACACUCAAAUAAUAAAACCCAUAUUUUAUCCACACUCAGCUUCUAUCAAUCCCACUUCAUAAAUGCAUUUCAAACUCUUUCCACCCUCUGUAUCUUCACCACCACCACAUUCUUAGCUACCAUAAUUUCUAAUCUUGAGUAGUAAUGCAGUGCCCUGAUAAGAAGCAUUUUAUAGAGAAAAUGGAAAGAAGUUUGAAUAACUACUUAAUUAUCUUGACACAUACAUAAAUAAAUAAAUCUUAGACAAGGAUGAAUAUAAAAAAUAAUGUAUAAAUGUGUCUUAUAAGGCAUUUAGAUACAAAACCUAAAGGUCUUUUUACUUAAACCAGUCAAAAUGAAUAUAGAUAAUACUGCAUUUAGUCAACUAUAAAUGUACAUUUUUCUGCAUUUUUAACACCUCUGAAAUUGAGAUGUGUCAUAAUUAAUGCUAUUAUAAUUUGUAAAGUACGCUAACUCAAGUAGUUGCAUAUCAACUUGCGUUACCUGUUCUACCUGCUAACAUUUCCACCCAGAAGAAAUAUUUUAUUAUCAAAUGGCAGAAACAAUUUUCACAGUAGCCACAUAAAUAGGCUUUGGAUCACAAAAAUCAUAAAUUACUCCCGUGUUGACCUUCCACUAUCAAAAAAGUUUUAAACCCUCCCAGAAAGUUUAGUAGAAAGAGAAAGAGUCAACGGUACGGUGGUAAGAGCAUGCACUCUAAAUCAUGUUGCUUAGAAUAUAUACUAGAUGUGUCAAGUGGCAAGACACUUAACCCUCUGUGCCAACAAACUGCAGAUAACAAUAAUUAUUUCAAUGUAUUUUUGAAGAUUAACAGAUAUUACAUAUCACAAUGCUUAAUGAAUAAUAUGUACUCCAAUAAUUAUAUUAUAUUUUGAUGCUGAUUACUCAUGUUCAAAUGAGGAUUUAAGGCCUCAUUAGAAAUUUAGGCAAUUGGUUAAUCUACUUCUCUAUUCAAUCAACAUAUAGUCAGUGCUAUAUGUGCUGAAGGCACAGUAUUUUCCCUGCUUUAGAGUAGCAAUGUAAUGAGGGAACCAAAGUUAAAAAGCAAAAAGAAGUGAAUUUUAAUGUUGAUAAAAUCAUGCCAUACUAAGAAAUGUGCCUAUAUUAAGGUAAAGUAAUAAACUAUAAAGUUGUUUAACAACAUUUUUAUUCCACUUUUUUUCUUUCCAGUUCCUUAUUGAGUUAAAACUUGUAAAAACUGACAGGUUUGGGUGGCUCAUGCCUGUAAUUCCAGCAUUUUGUGAGGCCAAGGUGGGCAGAUCACCUGAGGUCAGGAGUCUGAAACCAGCCUGCCCAAUAUGGUAAAACCCUGUCUCUACUAAAAAUACAAAAAUUAGCUGGGCAUGGUAGCAUGCGCCUGUAGUCCCAGCUACUAAGGAAGCUGAAGAAGGAGAAUCACUUGAACCAGGGAGGAGGUGGUUGCAGUGAGCCGAGAUUGUGCCACUGCACUCCAGCCUGGGUGACACAGCAAGACUCCGUCGUUAAAAAAAAAAAAAAGCUAUUAACAUAAACUUCAUAGUGUUUUUUAAAGAAGCUACACAUACAAGUUCUUAGUUGCUUCCAAGUUUUUAAGUUUUCAUUUUUAAUUUCUGUAUUAAAAUGCUUUUACCCUGCUAUAAACAAUACCUGAGACUGGAUAAUUUAUAAUGGAAGCAGGUUUAUUUGACUCACGGUUCUGCAUAACUGAGGAGGCCUCAGAAGACUUACAAUCAUGGCAGAAGGUGAAGGGGAAGCAAGACAAGAAAGGCUCUCUCAUUUUUAAACCAUCAGAUUUCGUGAGAACUCAUUAUCAUUAGAACAGCAUGGAAGAAACUGCCACCUUAAACCAAUUGCCUCCCACCAGGCCUCUCCCUCCACAUGUGGGGAUUACAAUUAGAGAUGAGAUUUGGGUGGAGACACAGAGCCAAACCAUAUCAAUUUCCAAGACCUUAUCUUCUCUGUAUUUUGUGUAACAUAUAAGGUGCCCCAAUGUUACUUUUAGUUAAUGUUUACAUCACAUAAAAAGUUACUAGUCUUCUCUGAACAUGAACUUUAUAAGCAUAACAUUUUUAUCAACUUUGAAUGCACAUUUUAAUUUUACUAAGAGUUCCAUAUACCUUCAGUGUUUCUUCUAGAAAUAAGCCUAAAC
rnacentral:lncRNA from 1 species